CAACCCUCAAGCUCAGCUUGGUGUUGGGGACUGUUUUAGCGACACCCCCGAAACUUCUAGGCGCCUUUUCUGGUGCAGCGGGCUUAACGCAAGCACUGAAACAGCAGCCAAAGUCAACUUUCA
rnacentral:misc_RNA from 1 species